UGUUCCGGCUCCACAUGACGUCCCCGUCAUUGUAAUCGAUGAUGAUGGUGACGAUAACACUCAUGGGGAUGACACCGUGAGUCCAACCGAUUCCAGAGCACUGGUCUCCCCGGGUUCCACAAUUUUCAUAACGUCUCAGGAAACCGAAGAGGAAAUGGGGGAGGAAGAGGAGGAG